rnacentral:rRNA from 1 species
UACGAAGGGUGCAAGCGUUACUCGGAAUUACUGGGCGUAAAGCGUGCGUAGGUGGUGAGUUAAGUCUGUCGUGAAAGCCCCGGGCUCAACCCCGGGUCGGCCGUGCGAACUGUUUUGCUUGAGCACUGUAGAGGCAGGCGGAAUUCCGGGUGUAGCGGUGGAAUGCGUAGAGAUCCGGAAGAACACCGGUGGCGAAGGCGGCCUGCUGGGCAGUAGCUGACACUGAGGCGCGACAGCGUGGGGAGCAAACAGG